rnacentral:rRNA from 1 species
CCUACGGGGGGCUGCAGUGGGGAAUUUUCCGCAAUGGGCGAAAGCCUGACGGAGCAACGCCGCGUGAGGGAUGAAGGCCUCUGGGCUGUAAACCUCUUUUAUCAAGGAAGAAGAUCUGACGGUACUUGAUGAAUAAGCCACGGCUAAUUCCGUGCCAGCAGCCGCGGUAAUACGGGAGUGGCAAGCGUUAUCCGGAAUUAUUGGGCGUAAAGCGUCCGCAGGCGGCCCUUCAAGUCUGCUGUUAAAAAGUGGAGCUUAACUCCAUCAUGGCAGUGGAAACUGUUGGGCUUGAGUGUGGUAGGGGCAGAGGGAAUUCCCGGUGUAGCGGUGAAAUGCGUAGAUAUCGGGAAGAACACCAGUGGCGAAGGCGCUCUGCUGGGCCAUCACUGACGCUCAUGGACGAAAGCCAGGGGAGCGAAAGGGAUUAGAUACCCCAGUAGUC